CUGAGGAAGCUUCAGAGGUGGCUGUAGCUAUAGGCACAGCAAGUCAUUCUGCUCCUGUCUGCAUGUCAAAUUAUCCUUGGCCAAGUUACUGAACUGAUUUUAUCAGAAAAAUAGUGUGCCGCCCUUAAGAGAGCCUAUGAUUUAGUACAAUCAAAGCAAUGGAUAUGUCAGGUUCUGUUAAUUGAAUAUCAGUCAUUUUAAUUAAAUCAGUCUCUUAUCACUGAAGCACACCAUUGGGUCAGAAUUAAAUAAGCAAAGCGGGAAAGGGCAAUUCAAUCUUAAUGGCUUAAUCUUUUUGGAGGCUAGUGAAAGUCAGCGUUUAUUGCGAAGAAACAGAUUGGUCAUAAAUUAUCCGACUUAAUAUCAGCAACAGCGACAGACCUUUUUUUUUUUUUUUUUUUUAAAGUGGGCACGUCUCCUGUCAGCACCUUUCACCAUAUGUAGGGUAGGGUAAUUAAUUCAAGAAUAAUUCAAGCUUCACAGUCUGAUCAUUUCAACACCAAAUAGAAGCAUGUUUAAUGGGAGAUGUAUAAAUGCAGUUUAGUAAUAAUAAUAAAAAUUGCCUUGAAGAUAAGACUAAAAUAAAAACAUUUCAUGUCACCUAUGGGCAGACAUGUUUGUGUGUCAACUGACUUCUACUGACACUACUGAUAACAUUGGUGAUUAUUUCUUGUCCGCUAUAGAAUGUUUAUAUAGUAAACUGAUGUUUAGUAUCUGUAAAUAUAGAACUUUAUUUGCUACUUCAUGGGAAAUGAAACAGGGUGGCACAGUGGUGAGGUGCUUAGCACUGUAGCCUUACAGGAAGCACGUCUCGGCUUUGGAGCCAGGCUAGGGCUUUUCUGUGUGAAGUUUGCAUGUUCUUCCCGUCAGCAUGGUUACUAUAGUUUCCCCACAAAGAUAUGCAAGUGGUGGAUGUGGAUGGUUGCCUGUCUCCAUGUGUUAGCCCUGCAGUGGACUGGCAACCUGUCCAGGGUGUACCCUGCCCCUCGGCCUAUGACAGGAGGGAUAGAGUCCAGUGACCCUGUGUAGUGGAGAUAUCAAAGAUAGGCACGGCUGUGGCACUGAUUCAGUCUUUGAGCACUACAGUCACCCCGGUGUGUCGGCCAGAACACCACUUAAGGCCAAAUUGUCCCAGAGUAUGAAAGAAGAAGGGAGCUUGAGGUUCCGUUUGAGGCACUUUAUUGUCACCAGUCAAUUUCUGGGCCUGUAAACACAGUUGCGGGUGUACAUGUGUGUG
ensembl:lncRNA